GACUGGGCUAAAGGUAGUCAUUAUCUCAGUUGAUUGUUCACAGUCAGUGCCAGAUCUAACUCCUCAUACUACUCUCUCCCCCUUCUCACUACUGCACUUGACUAGUCUAAA
rnacentral:Y_RNA from 1 species